UACGAAGGGGGCUAGCGUUGCUCGGAAUCACUGGGCGUAAAGCGCACGUAGGCGGAUCUUUAAGUCAGGGGUGAAAUCCCAAGGCUCAACCUUGGAACUGCCUUUGAUACUGGGGAUCUCGAGUCCGGAAGAGGUGAGUGGAACUGCGAGUGUAGAGGUGAAAUUCGUAGAUAUUCGCAAGAACACCAGUGGCGAAGGCGGCUCACUGGUCCGGUACUGACGCUGGGGUGCGAAAGCGUGGGGAGCAAACAGG
rnacentral:rRNA from 1 species